rnacentral:rRNA from 1 species
GCUUACGGCCAUACCACCCUGAAUGUGCCCGAUCUCGUCUGAUCUCGGAAGUUAAGCAGGGUCAUGCCUGGUUAGUACUUGGAUGGGAGACCGCCUGGGAAUACCAGGUGCUGUAAGCU